GAGAAGCGGGAAGGCGCCGGCGGUGAGGCGAGGAAAGCGGUCGGGAGGAGAGCUUAAGCCCGCGAUAGGAUGGAGACCAUUUCCUUCCUUUUGAGGACUGAGUGGUGUGCUCGCAUUGUGACCACCCAGUUAUGUUUCCUGGAGGGGGAGAAAAAAAAUCUCCCUUUUAUAGUCCAGGUGCGUUGCUUUCCUCUCAGUGGCGAUGGGAAACCGCCCUAUGAGGCAAAUGCUCGGAUUACACGUUUGCGUUUUAGCCCUAUUGCUCCCGGUGGCUCCGUACUCCACGUGCGUAGGAUUACUCUGCAGAUUCUUCCCUCGCUCUGCUGUUUUUAAACCACAUUCACGUGGGAAUGUAAUUAGGGGGGGACAUCUCAAUGUAUAGACCUGCCCCCGUGGGCAGCUUCCAAAUUACGUAGUCUUCUGCAGUUUGCCGUGAGCUCGUCUGCAUUAAGCAAACCUUGAAUGCCUUUGGGAUUGCAGUGCCUUGAGGUAUCUGACAGGACUCUGGUGCCCAACCCAAUUUUAGGAUAAAUCAGUUUAGUCAUUAAGAGGGUUUUAAAAAAAAAAAGACCCUGUAGCUUUUAAACCCUUUUGAUUUUGUAAUGUAAUAGUAGAAUGGAUUAAAGUAUAUAAAAGCAUUACUUUUAAAGUAUACAAGUAUACUUUGCUUUCUACUAACCAUUGUUUCUGAGCAUAUUUAUAGAUCACAAUUUCCUAAUGGAUGUACUUAAAAGUAUAUACAAUAUAUUUUCUUCCUCAGCUAGUGUGCUAUAUACCACUUUUGCUAACUCUUCCGAAGUUAAAUAAGCUUGCGCCUGGUUUGAUAGGAGAUCACUAGGAAGUCAUUUGACUUGUGGAAUCUUGGAAGGCAAUAGUAAGUCACUUAUAAAUUGUUAUCAAUUGUUAUUAUGGCCAUGAAGUCACAAGAAAUCAAGUUGGACUCAAAGACUUUAUGUCAUGUUAAUGUUCUCUAAUGAGUUCUCUGUGAUGAAAAUGAAAAACUUGACUUUUCAAGGGACUUCAGUGAUUAUUACAACCAGGAUGUAUUUUAGUAAUAUACAUUCUAAGAUGGGAUACAAUUAGAACUUGGUUAUGGGGAAGGAUGGGAACACUGUUGUAAUAGAGUUUAUAGAACUGGUGGUUUUCUUGAUAAGAUUGAGAGCUGGAGUUGGAUAAGAGAGGUGUAACAAUAGACAGGUGCAAAGAGAUGAAAAUUGUAAAGAUUGGGAAAGCAAAAAAUGAAUUUUAAGGUGCCUGGAAAAUCUGUUUUGUAGGCUCUGUAAGAAAGUAACAGAAACUUAAUAUGUUCUACUGUAGUGCUUUGGGGAGAACUGAUUUUCUAUAGGCUCAGUUGUUUUGCACUAUAGAAUAAAGUUACUGUUCUUUUAUAUAAUAUAUUUUGCUUAUCUUUGUCACCUGACCAUAUUUCAGUGAUUUCACAUCUGUAUGCUUUUUCUCUUUCUCAGCCUUUAGCAUAUAGAUGGAUGUUCUCAAGGAUUUGGUGUUGAGUUCUUUUUAAUUUACUUCAUACAUGCUUCCUUUGGAUCAGCUGAUUUCUUUGCAUCAGUUAAUUGUUGCACAUAUACUGACAAUUCCCAAAUGUAUCUCUCUGUCCCUGUUUUGUCAGCAUCCUGUUCCAAAAAAACCUUGGUGGGCUUUUUGAUUGAUUGAAUUCCUACUCUCUGAAACUCAAUAUGAAUAGAGAUUAUUGUUUUCUAUACUGAUUAACCCAUCCCUUUGUAUCUUCAUUGCCACCAAAUGUGGGCUUUCUUUACUCUAGGAAUCUGGGGAUCAGUUUCCUUUAAAGCCCUUCAUUAAUAAAUCCACUAAAAUCUGAAGCAUUUGUGUAAUGUAUAUUCAUAGAGUACAUUGGUUCUUAGCCAUAGAGACAACAGAGCAACUGUUUGUCUUGAUUAUCUUAUAUUUGGAUGUUUGGAUCAGUCAAUUUUCUCUGAUCCCUGAUCCAGUACAAUUCUGUUACUAGUGGUUACAUGCCAGAGUACUUAAUGACUUAGAAUAUUGGCUUGCAUCUUACAUGCCUUGCACUUGACCAAAUCAUCUAGAUCAGGGGUGUCAAACUGCCGGCCCAUGGGGACGCGUCACGACGAAACCGCACCCACCCAAUUGCCGGCAAUGGGGAAAACUCUGAGAUGUUGGCGCGAAAUCAUGUGACGUCGUGAGUUUGACAUGUCUGAUCUAGAUUCUAGGCAGAGACAGCUGGAAUCUCAGCAUAGUAAAAUAGCCACAUGAUAGCCUAAAGUUUUUCCCAUCUAGUGGCAGUCCUUUGGAAUCAACUCCCACCAAAAUUAUAUCUUAUGCCUAGAGUAUGGUUUACACAAUUGAAAACUGUGUUUAAAGCAUUUUAAUUAGCUUUUGUGAAGUUGGAUCAGAAAUUAAUUUUAUGCUGCAUAUAUUGUUAUAGUACCUGCCAUCUGGAAUGUGAUUCCCUCUGAGAUCCAAGUGGCUCCCACCCUGUUAGGAUUCCCAAGGGGCUUCAAGACCUGGCUGUUCUCACAGGUCUUGGGGGAGGUGGUUGGAGCCCAUUGGGGUUUCUGUGAUUUAUGUUUGGUUGAUCAGAUUUGCUAUCUUGUUCUUUAUUUUGUCCUUGGUUUUUGAGUUGUUUUGUAUUUUAUUCUCUUUGUCAUAUUAUGAGCCUCCCAAAGUUAUUCUGGAGUUGGGCAACACCUAAUCAUUAGACUAAAAUGAAUGAAAUUAAAUUACAGGUUAUAAUUAUUGUUUUAUUGUUUGGCCUUUUCAAGUUACCAAUGCUCUAUAUUUUAAUUAUGGUUUUGAAUUGGAUUAUAGCAAUACUGAUGUAGUUUAUUUUGUACUAGUUACACACAUAUGAAAAAUCAAAACUACAGUUUCAUAGUUUGAAAAAAUAUUCCCAUCUUAGUGAAGAUUCCAAAAUGGGAAUACUGUGAGUUAAAAAUAGUUUUGCUGAGUCCCGGCUACGUGAAUAUAUCUGCUUUCAUAUUAUAAAUUCAUUGUCAGGAAUUUAUGAUGAGCCAGUUUGGUAUAAUGGAUUAGCUUUUACAUCUCCCAUAGACACAGAGUGUGGCUGGGUGACUUAGCCAGUCACUCUCAGCCAAUCCAUCUCACUUUUAUUGUUACUGUUGUGAAAGAAAAUCCGGUAGGCCACCUUGAAUUGUAUAAAAUAAAGGCAGGAGAUAAUGAUGAUAAUAUAUAAUUUUCUUUCCACUGUUCCCAUGAUUUCUAUGAAACCUAUCUCCUAUGUCAUUUAAAUUGGAAGGAUAGUACUCAGGAUUCAAUUAAUUCCAAACUAAAAGACCAUAAAUACGUAAAUUAUGUCUGUAAAUGUAAUGCACAGUUAAAUAAAAGAUAUUACAAAUCAUAUCAUGAAUUUCCUUGAUCCAGAGAAGAAAAUGUAACACCCAGAACAAACUCACAUAUUCUGCUGUAAGGAAGAAGGCCAAAAACCACAUACUAUCUAGGAUUAGUUGUUUAAUUCAUCUUGAUCUGAGCUUUAUUCAUUGACUGGACCUCAAAAAGAGGAUUAACUGGAAAUUAGCCAUCUAUUCUGACAUCUGGCAUAGAAACAAACUAUAGUAACUUUGCAGAAAUAGGCAUCCUAUAAUUACAGUCCUGUUUUCCAUGUACACAGAUGAAGGUAUAGGGAAGAUUUGGUCAAAUCUAGUGGCUCUAACCCUGAUAGAGUUAUUAUGAUUACAGUAUUUAAACUAAAAGAAAAGGCAGUUGACCAUGAAAACAAAAUACCUAGGGGUACUGCCCAAUAUGGCUACUCCCUAGAAAACCGAAGCUACCAUUGAUAGUUGCAUCAUCUGGUAACAGAUCACUGUAAGUACAGGUAGUCCUCAACUUACAACACUUCAUUUAGUGACUGUUUGAACUUACAAUGGGACUGAAAAAAGUGAGUUGUUGUGAGUCCUCACCUGCCAGCAGAUCCAGCAGCCAAGUCAGAUGAAUUGGAUGAGGGGGAAGGGUUGCCUGGGUUCAUAUUGGAGUCUGUGGAAGGCUCUGAGGAGCACAAAGACUCAGAGCUAGAUGUGACACCAGACCCAUCUACUCACGCUCAGGCAGAGGACAGCUGGGUUGGGGACCUGAACUGAGCAAAGAGGAGGAACAGCCGAGUAAGCGGUUGAGCAGUAUUUAUGUAGACUGGGACAGAACAGUUAUGACCAUUUUUCACAUGACCAUUUCAGCGUUCCCCAAGGUCACAUAAUCAAAAUUCUGACACAUGGCAACUGACUCAUGUUUAUGGUAGUGGCAUUGUCCCAGAGUCAUGAGACCUCCUUUUGCAACUUUCUGACAAAGUCAAUGGGGAAGCCAAAUUAAUUUAACAACAGUGUUAUGAAUUUAACAACUGCAAUGAUUCACUUAACAAAUGAGGCAAAAAAGUCAUAAAAUGGGGCAAACCUCACUUAAGAAAUGUCUCACUUAGCAAAAUAAAUUUUGGGCUCAGUUGUGGUAGUAAGUCAAGGAUUAUUUGUAAUCAUGUUUUAAUAUGCUAAGAUUGGUGGCUGCUUUUGCACAAUAGUAUAACCCAGCCACUUAUUGUACAGUAUGGUUUAUACACUAAAUGAUCCACUCUGUUAUGUUUGGUGUUAGCUUACAUACUUUCACAAGAAGAAUAAAGCUUUCUGGGCAGAAUUCUGUAGGGGCAGAAUUGUGGAGGUUUAUGAACUUUUUGUAAUAGUUAUGAAUGUUGUUGAACAGACAACAUGUCCAGAGUCAGGUUUGGUGAGUGCGUCAAAACAGCAUGCUUUGUAAAAGGAAAUUACAUAUAGUACUGAAUAUAGUGAUAACAAUAUGUGUGAUUCAGAAUAGUCAUUUUAAAUUUGCCUGUAGAAAAACUUUGCCUUCCAGUAACCAUUGUUUCUCCAGCAUCAGGAACCCUCUCCCUUCGUGGGAUUAUUUGAUCCCACAUUAUUCAGGUCUAUUCUAGCUAAGGCCUCCGCAGCAUCUAAGAUUGCACCCAAGCAAGAACCACAAUCCAUCCCUUCCACCAGUCAUACACCAGACUCACUGUUUUCUGAGCCGACCGUGCCCCAAAAACAUAUACCGUCUCCCCCAUUUUUCGUUAAUAUGGUAAAGAAGCAAUGAGCUAGUCUUAGUGCCCCCCCUGCUCCAGGGGCCACUGAUAAACUUUUCAAUGUGGCUCCGUUACUGUUGGAUUUACUAGAGGUCCCGGCAGUAGACACAUCAUAAACUCCUAUCUUCUCCCCCUCCACCAUACCAGGUGAUAUGCUGGAGGCAUUGAAGCCGGAGGAACAGAAAUCAGAGUUUUCUUUGCGCAGGUCACAUCAGGUAUCCAGAUGGGCAGUGAAGGCUUCCACUUCGGCAUCCUUCUUUUCCAGGUCUUCUAUCAUUUGGCUUCGAGAGCUUCAGGCCAUGAUUCCCCAGGAACAGGUGUGGGCCCACCAAACCUUGGGUAAGUUACUUGGUCUGGCAGAGUACAUGGCGGAUGCCACACUUCAUGCAGCCAGAUUUUUGGCCAGGGCAAUUGCCUUAAAUGUAUCAACUUGCAGGCUGUUCUGGCUGAAACAAUGGCGUCCAAAUGGCGUCUGGCCACUGCACCUUACACUGGGAGUCAUCUGUUUGGGGAAGCUCUCGAUCCCUGCUUGGUGGAAAAUUGGGACAAGAAGAGGGUGUUAGUACACCAGGCCAGGCGGGUGGACAGGAAAGCUACCCCAUAUUAUCGGAAAUAAACCUUUCAUACUACUUCAGGGACGGAGUGGUCUCAACUACCCCGCUCUUUCCCCCCCAGAGUCGAAUGUCAAUUGGACCGCUUUGGGCCCAAGCCCAGGCAGCAGGUUCAAUCAAAGCGGCCCUUUCAAGGCAUGGGGGGCCAUCACUUUAGGAGGAAUAAAUUACUCUAGGGAGGAACCCCUCCCAUAGAUGGCAGGCUUUCCCUCUUUAUUCACAGCUGGGAAGCCACCACCACAGACGUUUGGGUUCUAUCCACCAUAGAAUACGGUCUGUCAUUGGAGUUCCUAUCCAGACCACCGGAUUGGUUAAUCCAGUGCCCAGCUUCCUUAAAUCCAACCAAAAGGAACCUCAUGAACGAGGCUAUAAAUCAUCUUUUGGAAAUAAAGGCCGUGGAACCAGUCCCGGCCAAACAGAUAGGGAAAGGUUUUUAUUCCAUCCUCUUUGUAGUGCCGAAGGCCUCGGGAGGAUGGAGAGCCAUUCUCGAUCUAAAGAGGCUAAAUACUGUACAAAAAAUUCAAGAUGUAGACUCUACAAUCCAUCCUGACCAGCCUCAGGAGGCACGACUUCCUGACGUCUAUCGACCUCACAGAAGCAUACAUACAUGUGCCAAUCCUUUUCCAACAUUGCAGAUUUCUCAGAUUCUGUUACAAAUCCUGUCAUUAUCAAUACAGAGCUCUGCCAUUUGGCCUGUCAUCCGCUCCGAGGGUGUUCACAAAGAUCUUGACGGUUCUAGCCGCCCACCUGAGACUGGUUCCAAUACGGAUCCAGUGCUACCUGGACGACAUUCUCAUACAGUCUUUGUCAGUUCAGACAGCAAGGGCGGAUGUAGCACUCACCAUCGAGGUACCUCAGAACCACAAGUUCUCUGUGAACUUCCUCAAGAGCCAGUUAGUUCCCUCGUCUUCUUCAUUUGGGGGCGGUCAUAGAUACGGAACAGUGGAUGGUCUAUCUGUCUCCGGACCACCAGGUCAGUAUCAGGAUACUGGUACGUCAUGUCCAACACGACCGUGUGGUUCCCCUGAUUACCCUCUCCCAACUAUUAGGGAAAAUGAUCUCAUGCAUCUCCAUAGUGCCUUGGGCCAGACUGCACUCCAGGGCUCUACAGUGGUUCCACCUCCUCUUUCAAAGGCGGAAACUUACAUCUUCCAACAGAAAAGUGAGGGUGUCACCCCUAAUUUUGAAGUGUCUCCACUGGUGGACUUCCCAAACGAUAGCCGGAGGUGCACAUUUCAAGGAACCAGCACAACUCACUCUCACCACUGAUGCCAGCCUCUUUGGCUGGGGAACUCAUCUCCAAUCCCAGUUGGCUCAGGGACGAUGGUCCCGACGAGACCUGAAGCACAACAUAAACUGGUUGGAGCUCAGAGCCAUACAUCUAGCAUUACGACACUUCAGAUACAGGGUGAAGGGGCAGCACGUUCUAGUCCUCAUGGACAACAUAGCAGCAAAAGCCCACGUGAACCGGCAGGGAGGCACCCGGUCCCAGUCACUCAUGACAGAGGCCAGGCUACUAUGCUCCUGGGCAGACACCAACCUCUCUUCCAUCAAGGCGGCUCACAUUUUGGGAGAGACAAAUAGACAGGCGGAUGCCUUAAACAGAGCAACGAUAGACCACUCGGAGUGGCGUCUGCUUCCAGCUCUAUUCGCAGAGAUAGCGGAGAGGUUCGGCCGCCCGGCUCUGGACCUGUUCGCGUCUCCAGAGAAUUCACAACUCCUGCGGUCCUCCCAUUUCCCGUCUCCGGGGGUGGAAGGAGUGGACCCACUUAGCAGUCCUUGGCCUGGGGGUCUACUACAUGCCUUUCCCCCUCUUCCUCUAAUGUUGGUGGUCAUACGCAAAAUAUUGCAGGAGAGGGCAAAAGUCAUCUUCAUUGCUCCACACUGGCCGGGGCAUCCAUGGUUUCCUGACCUCAUGAGCCUUUCCAUCUUGUCCCCGUGGAGAAUCCCUCCGGAUCGCAUUGUGCUCAGCCAGGGAGCUCUUUAACACCCGAACCCGCAAUGGCUCCAGCUAGCCGCCUGGCACUUGAGCAGCAACGCCUGACUCAGGAGUCUUACCCACCGAGGGUGAUCUCCAUGAUUCAGGCCUCCAGGCGCCCGUCUACCAACAGAAUUUAUGACUCCACUUGGAGGAACUUUUCCGCCUGGUGUACCAGGAAUAAAAUUGGCAUGUCAUUUGUCACUGUCCCAAACAUUUUGGAAUAUUUGCUGGAGGGGCUUGACAAAAAUCUUUCGCUGAAUACCAUCAAACGACAAGUAGCAGCUCUUGCUAUGGUGCUCACAUGCGACGAUUCUUCCUCUCUAGCACAUCACCCGAUGAUUCGCUCCUUCAUUAAGGGGGCGACCAACACAAAACCACCCACGGUCCAUAGAUAACCCUCGUGGGAUCUUUCAUGUGUUUUGCAUGCUCUUACCAAGCCACUGUUCGAGCCACUUAAGUCUUGUGAAUUGAGUUUUUUGUCAAUGAAAGUAGCCUUUUUGGUGGCAGUAACAUCAGCCAAACGCAUUUCCGAGCUGGCUGCACUCUGUCAGGGAGGAUCUAUGCGUUUUUCGUGACGACUGUGUAAUCCUUAGACCCAAAGUUCAUUCCUAAGGUAAACUCCUUGUUCCAUAGAUCACAAGAACUCAUACUACUGAGUUUUUGUCCCCGUCCAACUCACAACCUGGAGCGCCAGUGGCACACCUUGGAUGUGCGCAGAGCAUUAAGACAGUACAUCAAGCGGACCUCUGCCUUCCGCAAAUCGGAAACGCUUUUCAUUUCCUUCCAGUCCUCUUCCAUGGGGCAGAAGGUCUCUUCGACCACCAUCGGCAGGUGGAUCAAGGCCUGUAUAGCUAAGGAUUACCAAUCCCAGUCCUUGUCCAUUCCUCGCCGUAUCACUGCUCAUUCCACCCGCAGUGCAGCGACCUCAGCAGCUUGGGUGACUCAAGCACCCAUUGAUGAGAUUUGUAGGGCGGCGACUUGGUCGUCUCCCUCCCCGUUUAUUAGGAAUUACAAAAUUGAUAAAUUUGCCUCCGCUGAUGUCUCCUUUAGCCAGAGGGUGCUACAACGUGUGGUGCUGUCCUGAGGGACACAUGCCCUGACUGUUUCCCCCCCAUAGGGACGGUGUAGGCUUUGGUAUGUCCCAAUCUGUGGAUUAUCCAUCCUCAUACUGGAGAAAGGGCGUUGUCUUACCUGAACGCCUUUUCUCAGCAUGAUGAUGGAUAAUCCACUCCCGCCCCUUUGUCAGGUCCUGUGUCGGGUAGGGGAACCAACGUGUCAGACUUUGUCUGCUGCUUCACCUUCGUCGGAACUGGGGAAGCAUGGCCCAGCGGGAGGCGUGGCUAACACUCAGACUUAGUCUAUUGGGUAGAAGAGACUUCAAGAAACCCAAUCCGUGGAUUAUCCAUCAUCAUGCUGAGAAAAGACAUUCAGGUAAGACAACGCCCCUUCUGAGCAUAUUUAUAGAUUACAAUUUCGUAAUAGAUGUACUUGAAGUUGGAAGGGAUGUAUGACUAUGGUUAGGAGCCUAAAGAUCACUUGCCCUUUGCACCCAUAUUUCUAGUUAUGACCAUGGAAUGAAAACUAGAAGAUGCCUUGAAAAAAGUUUAUUUAUCAUAUAGAUAAUUUUUCAGGUGGACUGCAGUUUCUAUGAAUUUCUUAGGGAUCAUGCAGUUUCUUGAUUAUUUUUUCUAUUACUUAAAUAAAAAAUAAUUGCCUCUUUUAGAUCACAAUGUCAAGUGUAUCAGAGCAUAUUGCGUCAACUACAUAAAAGGUAUCCAUGUAGCCACAACCUAGUCUAUGCAACUGCAGGUCAUCUGGUAAACUAUUGGAGAUUAUGUUAUCCCUUGGAACCCAUGAGCCUUUCUAAUCACAAGAACAAAGAGCAAGAGACACUGAAGGAGAAGGGUCUUCACAGACUGUCCUUGUGUCUAUUUUUCUCCAGGCAUAUUGUUAGUAAUUUUUUUUGGUAUGUUUUAAGAAACAAAGGAAACUUCCUGUCUCUCUCUUUUGUGCUUCCUUCUCUUCCAGACAUACUUUAGACAGAAGUGAAGUUAGAUUUACUGUUAGCUGGGCUUAGCCUGUAGCCUGUAUCCAAGACAACUGUAUUAUUUUACUUCUAAUGGAGUGUUCGGCAGCGUAAUUGCUCAAUAUUCUUUCAGCACUGUGCUUAUAUUUAGAAGCACAUCCUCCGGCAAAGACUCUUGCUGAUUCAAAUCUCCAAAAUAAAUUCAUUCCACUACUUUGCUAUUUUAGAUUACAUAUUCGGAAUAGUAUGUCUGAACAUUCUUCUAUAUUAAAUAUUGCAAUCUGAAAAUAUUAAGAUUGCUUGAAUUGAUCGUAUGCCAUGUGGUUGUAAGAUAAAUCUUGUCCAUUACAAAGGUGGGAAAUUUAUGGUGCCAGAUGUUGAACAACAGUAACCAGCAAUCUUAGCAGGGCCAUAGGCUACUGGAACUAAACAAUGUCUUCACAUUCUAGAGAUAAAUUUCACUGUGCCUAAGAGCUUGUAGCUUACUCUGUUUAGAAUUUCAUUUUCCUGAUUUCAUAUAAUUGCUGUCAUUUAUGGAAUUUGCUCUCAGAAGCUGUUGAGACAACCAUCCACAUGGAGAGGUUUAAAGGAGUACUGGGCAUAUUUAUGGGCACAAGACUAUUAGAAGUUUAUCAUCAUGAUAACUGUAUUAGCUCUCUAAAUUCCUAGAGCACAUGAAAUGAAUGGGCUGUUUCCCUAUGAUCCUGGUUGUUGAUUUCUCAGAGGCAACUAAUUAGAAACUCUAAGACCAGGAAAAACUAUACAAAAUAUUAUUUACAACAGAGUUUUGCAAUUAGUGUAAUCUUGUGUUGUAUUUUAUAGAGGGCAAUAUUUUUGAAGGACCAUUGGAUAACAGUUACUGCCAAUAUAUGCUGGCUCCUAGGGCAAAACCAGAUCCAGUUCAGUUUUGACCAAGUUAUGUUCCUCUUCCCUUAUUGAUAUUAUUUAUAUCAACAGGGCAUCUCUACACAAUCAAAUUUGUGCACAAAUCUGUAUUUCAUUCAGGGGUAUCUGCAGCAGCUGGCUUGAAGAUGUCACACAUGACCAUGCAAUCAGAGCCUUGGCUUAUUUUAAAUAUAGGAAAUCCAUGUUUUAAAAAGGGCAGUUUUAUUACCUGGUUAUAUCACUGCAGUAUUUUGAAGCCAAUGUCUAUCAUUGUAGAGGUUUUUAUGGCGAAGCCUGUCAUCAAGUUCUGCUUGUCCCUGCCAUUAUUCUUAUAAAGACUUAUCUACAAUUUAUAUUUCAGAUCAUUACUUUUUGAACACUUAUCCCGUAUUAUUAUCUCACCCUAUUUUAAACAAUUCAUGGGGAGGGGGGGAUUAGUCUCCUUUAAAUGUCUGCAUAUUCAUUAGUCACUUAAAAACACUGCUGACUAAAAGGCUCUGUAAAUGAAUCAGCACUAUGCAAAUUCAACAGUUCUAAAAAUGUGGAGUCAGCCUCUUCUCCCUACACUCACAUAUUCUUGAUCUAGGAAAGAAAAGCAUUAGAUGUAUCAAAAAUUUUGAAUUUGGUUCUAUAACUCCCUGUUAAGUCUAUUAAUUUUCCAUACAAUUCUUAUUCCCAAAUACAUGGGAAAUUCAGAAUUGAGCAAUUUAUAUAACUUACUUUUUAAAUUUAGACUUUUUAAACUUUUAAAAGAUAUGUGACUCAUUUCCUGUCAGAAUCUGUGCCUGUUUCCCCCUACUAUUUUAAAAUCCUAGAAAAGGAAAAAGAAAAUUAGCAAAUAAAUUUGUUUUGGGCUUUAAUAAGAAGCUAGUGGGCUUCAGAUUGAUGUAAGUCUAUCAGAUGUUGGCUACAAAAGUCUAGAUCACUAUGAGGCAAUCAAGAUUUUUUUUUUUAUCUCUUUACUGUGCUGUAGUGGUUGCCUGGAUUUUUCAAGGCCAGAUCCGAUAGGUCUACCUUGGAGUGUUACAACUUCAGCAGGUCUGCUCCAGCCCUAUACCUCAGCAUAGAUUCAGAGUUGUUUUGAUUUAUCAGCUAAUUAUGUGCACAUACAUUCUAAUUACUAAUUGCAUGGUUGUAUAACAAACAAGCAAACAAAGCAUUCUGUAGAACUCUUCAUUAUUAUAGGUGAUAAGGCAAAAAAUGAAAGAAGCAAGAGAUUGGCUUAUUUUGGGGGUCUAUUUAGUUACAGGUUUAAAAUAAAAUAGGAAACAGGCUGCAGACAAUAAUAAAGUUUAUGGGGCUGAUAAGGUGCUUUAGGUUGUGCCUAAGGCUCUUCUAAGGACACUAGAAUACAGAAAAAAUAAAGCAAUACAAUAGUUAAUUCAGCAGUAAUUUCGAUCUCUGCCUUAUGUAGAUUUCCUAAUAGGUAAUAAAAGAUUGGAGACAAAAUAGGCCAGUUGUAUACUGAUAGAGCUGGAAAUAAUUUUACAGGUAGAUAGUUUCUAAAAGUCCUCUGAAGCCAAAAUCAGUAAUUUUAUCUGUUGGAGGGUGUACCCUCUGAGAAUACUGCCCCAGUUUCCAAAGGUCAAAGGAAGCUUUUUAGUUGCAUCCCAAAUUUUGCAACAAAACCUAAUAUUUAAGCCUGUAGGUGGCAGUAGCUACCUCAGAAAGUCUCAGAUUCAAGUUUAUUCCUCUGAACCUUUUUCUAAAUUAAUGGUUUUGGAGCAGUCGCAUCAGGGAUGAUGGCUAAAACGUUCUAACUUGGUAUGGUAUACAGAAUUGAUAGACACAUUUCACCAGCAAUGUCAGAAUAUAUUAAUAAAAAACAUUGCCUCAGGAGAGAUUUUCUGAAAAUAUAAUGGGAAGUGCCUCAAACCUGACACAGAGUUAAGAGACUGAAUAAUCUAUCACAAUAACUGUAGAGAUACAAGAGAGAAAAAAAUCAAUAACUAUGGUCUGAAUGUUAUUGGUAUACCUGAGUGGCCUAUAAUAUAUAACAGAAAAUACUGUCCCAGAUUUUAGGGAUAAAAUACUGUACAACUCCAUCUUACCCCCAAAUUCUACCCCAAAUUUUACUCUGGUGACACCACUUAGCUGAGUUCUUAUCUUCUUAAUUUGGAGAAAGUUUUAAUAGUUUUCUUUCCUUGAUCUCUCUAGUUCCUUUACAGCUUCCAGCUUUUAAAGACCCUUAGAUCGAAAGAGGGCAAAAUUAGAAUAUCAAUUGCAUAUUGAUACCCUAUAGCUUUUUAAAGACUGGAUUCUUCCAAAUCUCAGAUUAGAUGGUAGUCAAGGUACAGUUCUAUGCUCUCAAUUAGAAGGUAUUCUCAAAGACUAAAUACAGAUUGUUAUCUCAACUAUUUGGAGCAGGGGGGUCAAACUGCCGGCCCACGGGCCAGUUUCAUCAUACCAAAGCCACGCCCACCCCAUUGCCGGCAAUGCAAAAAGAGUCGCGAUACGUCACAUGAUGAGUUUGACACCCAUGAUUUGGAGAGUCUGAAUAUCUAUUAUCAUUUUGUAUAUUUAAAACACUUGAGCUGGUUGUGAGGAUCCCAAAUCAUUUUGUUAAGUAAAUCAUAGGACUCCUAAUACCUCCCCACCUUCAGCCUAAUGCUACAAAGUCAGUAUUAAAUUCAGUGAAAUUAUUAUAAGGUAACAACACAUACAUUGGAUUGUAACCUUUAAUCGUUAAGUUUAUGUUCUGUUCAGCUGUAUAUUAAAUUCUGAAUAGAUUUGAGAUUGGUUUGAUGCUGUACUUGAACUUUGUUUUAAUAAAGCAGAAAAAUAAGCAGUGAUAUGUAUCCUCUUUUGCUAGCAAGAGUUAAUGGAGAAAAAGAUUUUGUGCCCAAAUUGAUACUGAGAGAUAGGACGCAAGUAAUGUAAUUUCUUCAGCUACCUAAGGGUUAAUAUUGAUAUCCUACUGCACUGCAUAUCAGAUUCAAGUCAAUAGCCAACAAUUAUCUAUUACAUUCUCAGUCCAAGCAGAAUCGGGACAGUACUAAAUAAGGAAUUUCUUUUUCAGUUCCAGACUUUGUCCUGUGAUUAGAGGCCACUUUAAAUUGCCGUUCAGCUUCAUGUCCAAAUAUAACAUCUGCUCUGAAGAAAAAAUACUCUUCAAUAUUUCUCUAUUAAAAUUUUGUUUUCAUGGUCAUUUUUUAAUAGAGCAUAAAUGCAUUUUUUCAAAGAAGGUCUUUGGUUGUUCGAGUUUUCUCCCGC